GGCCUGGUGGUGUAAUUGGCUAUCGCGCUGCACUGCGUCAUAUGUAAUUAAUUAGGAAUGCAUGAGAUCACUGUUCGACUCGGGGUCAGGCCA